rnacentral:tRNA from 1 species
GCUCUUGUAGCUUAGUUGGUUAGAGCCUUUGUUUUGUUAGCAAAGGUCUUGAGUUUGACUCUCAACAAGAACA